UACCUGCAAUGUGCAGUGACAGUUCGGCGCUUGUUAGUUUCGGGCAGAUGGAUGCAGCAGGAAGCCCUCAGUAUAACGCACCCAACCUGCCUUGUUCCGGGUGCAUAAACUUCAGUUACAGUGGCAGCAGGUCUGGUGACCUGAGCACAGCCAGAUUCCUGGAUCAGCUUGUACUCUCAAGGAUGAAGGCUUGAAGUGCUGUCGAGCCCCAGCUGCUGCAGGAUCCCCCUGACCUGCAGCAGCGCCAGACGAUCGCUGUGGAGCGGGAAGGGGGGGGG